UCAGCUGUUCACAGGUCAUCCACGUCACAUUACUGUCAGCUGUUCAAUGGUCAUCAACGUCACAUUACUGUCAGCUGUUCACAGGUCAUCCACGUGACAUUACUGUCAGCUGUUCACAGGUCAUCCACGUGACAUUACUGUCAGCUGUUCACAUGGUCAUCCACGUGACAUUACUGUCAGCUGUUCACAGGUCAUCCACGUGACAUUACUGUCAGCUGUUCAAUGGUCAUCAACGUGACAUUACUGUCAGCUGUUCACAGGUCAUCCACGUCACAUUACUGUUAGCUGUUCACAGGUCAUCCGCGUUGGGCAACCU